rnacentral:rRNA from 1 species
CCUACGGGAGGCAGCAGUAGGGAAUUUUCGGCAAUGGGGGGAACCCUGACCGAGCAAAGCCGCGUGAACGAAGAAGUUAUUCGUAAUGUAAAGUUCUUUUAACAGGGAAGAAAGGGAAAUUUGAUGGUACCUGAAGAAUAAGCCCCGGCUAACUACGUGCCAGCAGCCGCGGUAAUACGCAGGGAGCGAGCGUGAUCCGGAAUUAUUGGGCGUAAGGGGUGCGUAGAUGGAAUAGUAAGUCUGUUGUAAAAAUGCUGGGCUCAACCCAGUAGGGCAAAAGAUACUGCAAAGCUAGAGUGUGACAGAGGCAAGUGGAACGACAGGUGUAGCGGUAAAAUGCGUAGAUAU